rnacentral:lncRNA from 1 species
AAGCAAUGUUCCUUCCACGCAAUUACUCACAGUCUGCAGCGUCUUCAGGCAGCCAUCAUUUCACAUGAGAGCAGCUGCCUGGAGGAUGCAUUCCUGGAAGUGUGCACAGUGAGGAUGGCUUGGCAGUGAGCACUCUUCCCGCCCUCCUUUUUGUGUUUCUUCAAAAAUCCGGAAGCGAUCUAAAGGGACUGAGACAUUGUCUGGACUGGGGUUUCCUGUCUAGAAGAUGGGUCUGUUGUGGAUUCCAUGAGGUCAUAUGGAUCUUCUGCAUUUGGUUCUAGCUAAGUAAGUGUGAUCAUAGGUAAAUUCAGGUCUGUGUGUGUAGAUCUAUGUCUGUGUGUACAGCUACCUAUAAAGUUUUAUUAGCAAGCUAGAACGACAGCAACAUGGCACCAUGAGCCUCUCCCUGGGGCUGGGGCACCUGAUUUGCCUGCCUCACUGCAAGGCUGUGCCCACAUGACGCCUGGGGCAGAAGAUGUGCUCCCAGCAGCACUUGCAUCCUGAUGGUUCUGACCCUCACCUGAAACAGCAAGAAAUCCAGCUUCAGGCGGUGAGUCUUGGUUCAGGUGUUGAUGGUACAGCACGGUCAGGAGGCCUUGCUUGCUGGGGGGGCUUCCCCAGUCACGAGGUCCCCUGGCCCCAACCCCCACUGUGAGUACACUGUGGAAGCCAAGCUCUGUGAAAGCUCCCUGGAAGUGGAUGAUGUAUGGUAUUAAUAAAGGAGAUGUGAAAUAUUCUAUCAGGAUGUUCAUGCCAGAACCAUGCUGGGAAGCACUGUGACCUCCCCUUCAGGUCUCUGCUGCAUAAGAGUUGCCAAAGGGUUUACUUCCCCACGAAAGAUCCUGCAUUCAGACCCCCAGACUGGGUGGGGGCCCAAGAAUUUGCCUUGCCAAGCUGUGGGGGCAGAGGGGCUGUUCAACAGGAUUGCUAAGCUGGUAGGAGGUAUCUCUUUAGCUUCUCUUGUGGGAGGCCUGCCUGUGAUAAGGCUGAGAGAGACAGAGAAAGGGAGGGGAGGGAGGGAGAGGGGAGGGGAGAGAGGAGAAGAGGGGGAGAAGAAGGAGAAGGGGAAAGGCGAGAGGGAGAGAGAGAGGGAGGGAGAGAGAGAGAGAGCAUGCCUGGAUCAAGCCAUAGCUGAAGCCAUCAAUUCAGGUAUCUCAGAAAUACGAACCUGUAAGCCCCAGUACAUUCCCUCAUUUUUCUUACAGCAGAUGGAUUGCGGUUGCAAGAGUCUUGAACGCCACAGGGAUCAUUACCUAAGAGUUGGACUUCUGGCAACUGAGCUCAAGACUGAUGCACGCUGUGUCUUAGGGUGCUCUCCUGGGCUGAGCAGGGCCUGGAGCAGGCAGAUGUGCUCACAGCUGCCCGGUGCCGGGAUACCACAGCCACUGUCCUGCUCAGUCCAGCCCUGGGCUUUGGUGUCCAGGCGGGAGAAACUUGGCUCUGUUGAGCUUUUCAAAAUAAAGUGGUUUUUAUUUCAUAUUCACGAGAGAGGUUGCAAAAGAGACUC